ACAUUUUUUAUUUUUCUAUUCUAAUGGAGGGAAUUUAGUCCCUUUUGGGACAAUGAUUUUUAGCAACCAAUAGAUCAAAGAUUUUGUCACACUUAGUAACGUUAAAGGUAUAUGUUCUAGCAUUUUUUUUCAUUUUUAGGUUCUACGUGAUUCUUCCUGUUUAUGGGUUUUAGCAGCUGGCAUGUAUAAGGAGGCUAUGACUUUAAUUCGG
rnacentral:lncRNA from 1 species